rnacentral:rRNA from 1 species
AACGAACGCUGGCGGCAGGCUUAACACAUGCAAGUCGAACGCCCCGCAAGGGGAGUGGCAGACGGGUGAGUAACGCGUGGGAACAUACCCUUUUCUACGGAAUAGCUCUGGGAAACUGGAAUUAAUACCGUAUACGCCCUACGGGGGAAAGAUUUAUCGGGGAAGGAUUGGCCCGCGUUGGAUUAGCUAGUUGGUGGGGUAAAGGCCUACCAAGGCGACGAUCCAUAGCUGGUCUGAGAGGAUGAUCAGCCACAUUGGGACUGAGAUACGGCCCAAACUCCUACGGGAGGCAGCAGUGGGGAAUAUUGGACAAUGGGCGCAAGCCUGAUCCAGCCAUGCCGCGUGAGUGAUGAAGGCCUUAGGGUUGUAAAGCUCUUUCACCGAUGAAGAUAAUGACGGUAGUCGGAGAAGAAGCCCCGGCUAACUUCGUG